AUACAACAGGUUUUUAAGGGAAGUGUUGAUCAUGUUGAUAAGAUAGAGCUCUCAGAACCUGGCGUAGCACAUAUGAUACAAAUGGUUUUAAAGGGAUAAACAUGGCAACAAACA